rnacentral:rRNA from 1 species
GAUGAACGCUGGCGGCGUGCUUAACACAUGCAAGUCGAACGGAAAGGCCCAAGCUUGCUUGGGUACUCGAGUGGCGAACGGGUGAGUAACACGUGGGUGAUCUGCCCUGCACUUCGGGGUAAGCCUGGGAAACUGGGUCUAAUACCGGAUAGGACCACAUUUUGGAUGGUGUGGUGGAAAGUUUUUCGGUGUGGGAUGUGCUCGCGGCCUAUCAGCUUGUUGGUGGGGUUAUGGCCUACCAAGGCGUCGACGGGCAGCCGGCCUGAGAGGGUGUACGGCCACAUUGGGACUGGGAUACGGCCCAGACUCCUACGGGUGGCAGCAGUGGGGAAUAUUGCACAAUGGGCGCAAGCCUGAUGCAGCGACGCCGCGUGGGGGAUGACGGCCUUCGGGUUGUAAACUCCUUUCGCUAGGGACGAAGCGUUAUGUGACGGUACCUGGAGAAGAAGCACCGGCUAACUACGUG